GGUCACUGAUAGGAGUCUAGAUUUCAAAUUGUUACUACGAGUCGCUCCCAAGGCAGUAGGUAUCUCUCCAUCGUUCACGCUGACACACAUUAAUUUUGAAAGUUGCAUUAUCAUUUGUUAAUAAUCUUAGAGAUUAUAAAAUUAGUAGAAAAAAGAAAAAAAAAACUGAUGACAAAAAAGAUACAGUGAAGUUUUUUCCGUAAUCGUCCUCUCUAACUUCAGGCAGUUCGACAUUAAACACCACCCAUGCGUCAGGAGGAACCUUGUCACGAAAAGCACCAUACCUGUGUCUGUGAGCCAGCCAGAAUAUAAUCAUUAUCUCAUUAAUUUAACAACUACUAGACUACAAAGCCUCUUAUUUCAACAACUAGUUUUAUAGUACAAACCUAAUAAUAACAUAAAAGGUGAUUUUCCACCGUUGGAUUCGAAAAUCUUGCUAUUCUCUUGAAGCUUUCAAGUAUGAUAAUAACUAACCUGCAGACAGAGACAACAGAAUGAGCUCCAGUUGAGAAGUUACACACAAACUACAUUAAUUGACGCACUCUGAUAGAACAAAUCCCACAAAGAAGGGAUUCACCAGUCACAACAACUUAAUAUAUAUAUAGUUUUGGUGGUUCUUAUGAGACAUUUUGUUUCUUCACUUCCUAUCCAAUAUAUAUGAUCAUGUGGUGCUCGUCUCAGUAAGGCAUUAGUUUGUUCAUAUAUUUCCUAUUCAAUGUCUAUUCUUUAAUGUUUUCUCGACGCCCUCUCGUGUAUGCAAUGUAGGACCAAC
rnacentral:lncRNA from 1 species